GGCUGCAACUCGCCUGCAUGAAGUUGGAAUUGCUAGUAAUCGCGAAUCAGAAUGUCGCGGUGAAUACGUUCCCGGGCCUUGUACACACCGCCCGUCACACCAUGAGAGUCGAUAACACCCGAAGCCUGUGAGCUAACCUUUUAGGAGGCAGCAGUCGAAGGUGGGGUUGAUGAUUGGGGUGAAGUCGUAACAAGGUACC
rnacentral:rRNA from 1 species